AUUCCUUUCAAACUAUAGGGAAGAAAAGUAAUUCAGAUUCUCUGGUGCCAUGAUCAUCUUUGAUUCUUCUGGCCAAAAUGCCAGAAAAUGAACCUCAGUUUCUUGGUGAUAAUAAAGUGAACUGGCUUCCAGCAGAGAGAGAUCACGGCUUCUGUGACGGACUCCUGUACUUCUCCCUUCUCCAACCCCCUUCUCCACUGGCCAGUGCAGUCACCUUGCUCAGCCCUCUGGCCUCGCCUGGAAAACGUCCUCAUCAAUUCAGCUGGCUACCCCACUUGGCUACAGAGUACUAAAGAAGAGGCUGAACUUGAUCCUGCUGCCCUUGCAUACACAACACUCCCAUUGACUCUAGAGCAGACUUAAGUGCAUGAAAGGAUUCCAGGAUCAAAAGGUUAGCUCUACGGGGAGCUGCGUCUGCCUCAAGCAAUCCAUUUUUUCUUCCUAUUGACAGUGAAAACGUUUUAUAGUUCUUUUUCAAAGUUUUUCAAACUUUUACAAAAACAGGCUACUUGUGAAAAACUGAGAAGGCAUCUAAUUGAACUAUAUCCAGAGGAGAUCAUGGCAAAGACCAACAGGGAAGAAAACAUUUCUAAAUCACAGUGAUAUUGGUCAAAUCAUUUGUAUUUUAAAAAUAAAGUAUUUGAGGCACAAGCAGAGGGAAAUUUUCAUUAGGCAGCCUGGUUGGGCUAUGAACCAGAAUGUGAGAUAAACUAAAACACAAAGCUCAUGAGUUUUUAUCUUUGUCUGCUAAUGACAUCGGUGGCAGGAUUAUAUAAACUUUGCAUUUUAUGGAAUCUG